UACGUAGGGUGCAAGCGUUGUCCGGAAUUAUUGGGCGUAAAGAGCUCGUAGGCGGUUUGUCGCGUCUGCUGUGAAAUCCCGAGGCUCAACCUCGGGCUUGCAGUGGGUACGGGCAGACUAGAGUGCGGUAGGGGAGAUUGGAAUUCCUGGUGUAGCGGUGGAAUGCGCAGAUAUCAGGAGGAACACCGAUGGCGAAGGCAGAUCUCUGGGCCGUAACUGACGCUGAGGAGCGAAAGCAUGGGGGAGCGAACAGG
rnacentral:rRNA from 1 species